GGGUCAUUAGCUCAGUUGGUAGAGCAGUUGGCUUUUAACCAAUUGGUCGAAGGUUCGAAUCCUUCAUGACCCA
rfam:Wohlfahrtiimonas chitiniclastica SH04 genomic scaffold scaffold_00004, whole genome shotgun sequence.